rnacentral:rRNA from 1 species
AUUGAACGCUGGCGGCAUGCUUUACACAUGCAAGUCGAACGGCAGCACGGACUUCGGUCUGGUGGCGAGUGGCGAACGGGUGAGUAAUACAUCGGAACGUACCCAGUAAUGGGGGAUAACUAUCCGAAGGGAUAGCUAAUACCGCAUACGCCCUACGGGGGAAAGAGGGGGAUCGCAAGACCUCUUGUUAUUGGAGCGGCCGAUGGCUGAUUAGCUAGUUGGUGAGGUAAAGGCUCACCAAGGCGACGAUCAGUAGCGGGUCUUAGAGGACGAUCCGCCACACUGGAACUGAGACACGGUCCAGACUCCUACGGGAGGCAGCAGUGGGGAAUCUUGGACAAUGGGCGCAAGCCUGAUUCAGCAAUGCCGCGUGCGUGAAGAAGGCCUUCGGGUUGUAAAGCGCUUUUGUCAGGGAGCAAAAGGUGGUGGCUAAUAUCCAUCGCUCUUGAGAGUACCUGAAGAAUAAGGACCGGCUAACUACGUGCCAGCCGCCGCCGUAACAC